ensembl:lncRNA
GCUGACACCUGGAUGCUACAAAGCACGUUUUCCCUUGUCAGUUUGGUAUUGCCAGAAUGAGCCCGGGACACGCUCCUUCCUCUUUGCUUACUAUUCUUGUCCUCGGAGCCCAUUUGCUGUUUCUGUAACCAUCUCCCUGACUAAGACCUUCACUCCAGUAAAGGCACUGGCUUCAGUCUCUAUCCUUUGUCAGACUUUGUUAGACUGUAAACUAAUCUGCUGGACUAUAAACUAAAGUGCCUUUGUUCAACUAAUGGAGAGACAGCACAGGCUCUGGCUUCAGUCUGUAUCCUUUGGCGCUUCCAGAACCAGCUUCACUGCACCCUCUCAGAACCUCAUCUUUUGGAUUCAGCGGACUGUCCUGGGGCGAGGAGAGCUAGCUUGGACUUGGUAACGGUCUCAGCUCUGAGGUCACCUCUGGCAUCAUUACUAGCUGUCUGACAGUGGAAGAAGGAGGAAGAUUAUAUGGGAGGUUUCGAUUGGCUGAGACUGGAAGAAACUUCUCUUCUUCUAUGGGCCGAAACUCAGACACAUGGCCACAACUAACUGCAAGGAAGCCUGAAAAACAUGCCUUAGUUACAUGUCUAGGAGGAUGGGGAAACAGAUUUGGAAAUGUAGUUGUAACAUCCUGAUGAAAGUGACUGCCGACUACAGAAACAACAUAGAUUUUGACACACUGCUGAGAAAGAGGGAGAGAAAGGGAGAGGGACAGGGAAAGAGACACACACACAGAGAAUGAGGAGGACGCCUUUGAGUCUUUCAGAUUCUUACUGAAAUGGAGAACACAAAGACAGGACGUGGAAGACAUUUAUCUUGAUGUUGUACAAAUGAAAUUUUGAAGAUAAAAGGAAGGAUUAUUCAAGAAACUCUGUGAAUCUGAAGUCAGAAGUGACUCAAGUUGGGAACCUGUUCCGUGAUGGAUUAUAUAGC